AUGAUGACCUGCUUCUCUGACCUCAUAAAUGAUCAUUCCCUAGAUUUUUUGUGCUUGCAAGAAACUAUGAAGAAAAAAUUCUCUUCUAGUUUUUUUAGAAAUAUUGAUCCUUAUAAAAUCUUUGAGUGGAACUGGAUUCCCUCUAUUGGUAAAUCAGGAGGUCUUUGUGGGGUAAAGAAAGAAAAGCUAGAAAUAAUUUCUUGGUCUAUGGGUAAAUAUAUCCUACAAGUGAUCAUGUUUGAUGUGGCUAAGAAAUGUGUUUGGGCUUUGCUUAAUGUAUAUGGGGCUGCCCAUGAUGAACAGAAGGAAGAAUUCCUUUCUGAGCUGGCUAAUUUUUGUAGUCACUUGACAAUACCCUAUAUAAUUUGGGGUGAUUUUAAUAUCUUAAGCCAUUGUGGAGAGAAGAAUAAAAAAUGGUGGCCUCACGAUAUAUAG
rnacentral:rRNA from 1 species